AUCCUUCUGGACUCCUUCCCAGAGCUAACUACAGACCUGAAAGAUUUCUUCUUCUGCGCUCUCAGGGAACAACAGUCCUUAAAGUCCAGCUCACGCUGCUGUGCUGCAGCGUCGCUCUCGGUCCCCUCCACUGCACUGGGUCUCCCCACUGCACUGGGCCCCCUCUUCACUGCACCCGGCCACUCCACCGCACCCGGUACCCCGGCCCUCUAUGGCACCCAGUUCUCUCUCCUCGGCACCCAGUUCCCCGCCCCCACCUCCGCCCCAACGGCACCCAGUCCCUCGCACCCAGCACCGCCCCCGUCCCUCGCACCCAGCACCGCCCCCGUCCCACCAACAGCACCCAGUCCCCCCGCUCCGCCACGGCACCCAGUCCCCUCAGGGCACCCGGUUCCCCGCCUCCGCCAAGGCACCCGGUUCCCCGCCUCCGCCAAGGCAACCGGUCCCCCCCCCCCCCGCCCCCCGCUACGGCACCCAGUCCCCCGACGGCUCUCGGUCUCCUCCACGCCGAGCCUCGGAGAGCAGGGGCUUUGCUUUUCCGGCUGAGGUGUUCAAUAAACAUCUCUUAAACAAAGGAGUGCGCAAGUGAGAUAAUAUAAGACAGAAUCUCGCUCUGUUGCGCAGGCUGGAGUACAGUGGUGUGAUCCGGGCUCACUACAACCUCUGCCUCCCAGGUUCAAGCGAUUCUUCUGCCUGGGACUACAGGUGCGUGCCACCAUGCCCGGGUAACUUUUUUUUGUAUUUUUAGUAGAGAUGGGGUUUCACCAUAUUGGCCAGGCUGGUCUCGAUCUCCUGACCUUGUGAUUCGCACCCCCCCCCCGCCACCUUGGCCUCCCAAAGCGUUGAGAUUACAGGCGUGAGCCACCGCGCCGGGCCUAAUUUUUUUAUUUUUAUUUUUAGUAGAGACGGGGUUUCACUUUGUUGACCAGGCUGAUCUUGAACUCCUGGCCUCAAGUUAUCCGCCCUGCCUUGGCUUUCCAAAGUGCUGAGAUUGCAGGUGUGAGCCACUGUGCCUGGCCAAAAUUCUACUUAUUUUUUUAUAGAGGAGUAGUACAGGCUGUUUCUGACUGCCCCAUCUGUAAGUAAACAAUCUAGUUUUGAAUUGUCAAUUGAUUUAAAAGUGAUAGUUUUCAAAUCUUCAUUGAGGCAUUUUGUAUCCAUUGAUUCUUUCUGCCAGGGCACACACUCUGUCUACGUUAUGCACUGAAGCCUUUCUGUGUAUCCUUACUGGGCCUUGAUGCUGGGUAACUGCACGAUUCUGGUAACCAAACCUGGUGGCACAUCCCAAUCAGCUUUUUCAAAAUAGGGCUUUCUAGACUUUCACCUGGAGAUUCUGUCUAGAGGUGUUUGGGCUGAAGCCUGGCAACUGUGUUACAUGAACAGUUGGCCCCCAUCCCUGGGGCAUCUGCCUCUGCUGCACUGAUGCCUUCCCCAGCUCACAUCAUGGCUGCAUGGGGCCAGAGGGGGUUCCCUGUGAUGCUUGCAGAAAAGCUUGGGUCUGCUGGUAGGAGUGGAAAAUGGACUGCUGCCCACUCCAGAGUGGCUUUAAAGGACAGUGGAGAGGGAGUCUUCCUAAUGAGCAGAGCUGUGAGCAGUACCCUUGUUUGUCCAUCUUGUAUGGAGGGAGAAGGGGCCCGAGGUCGCUUACAUGGACUCCUGGGGAGUGGUGACUGAUUUGGUUGCAAGUCUGGAAAGAGCAGGAGUGGAAGAUCUGAGAGCAAGAGUCAGGGUGAGGUGUGGAUGAACCUACAGGAGUGGGCAGAGAGCACUCAGAUCUCCCUGCUGGCCAUCAAUACCCGGCUGAGGGUGAGCACAGCAGAGGAGUCGCUCAACAACCGGGUGGACAAGACGACUCGUCUGGUAGACGCCUGCCAGCCUCUGCCCUUGGUCACUCCAGUGCUCAUGUUACCAGAAAGGGGUCCUGAUCUAGAUCCCAAGACAGGGUUCUUGGAUCUCACACAAGAAAUAAUUCGAGGCUAAUCCAUAAAGUGAAAGCAAGUUUAUUAGGAAAGUAAAGGAAUAAAGAAUGGCUACUCCAUAGGUGGAGCAGCCUGAGGGCUGCUGGUUGGCUAUUUUUAUGGUUAUUUCUUGAUUAUAUGCUAAACUAGGGGCAGGUUAUUCAUGAGUUUUCCAAGAAAGAGGUGGGCAAUUCCCAGAACUGAGGGUUCCUCCUCUUUUUAGACCAUAUGGGUUAACUUCCUGACGUUGCCAUGGCAUCUGUAAACUGUCAUGGCACUGGUGGGAGUGUCUUUUAGCAUGCUAAUGCAUUAUAAUUAGUGAAUAAUGAGCAGUGAGGUCACUUUUGUUGCCAUCUUGUUUUUAGUGGGUUUUGACCAGCUUCUCUACUGCAACCUGUUGUAUCAGCAAGGUCUUAAUGACCUGUACCUUGUGUGGACCUCCUAUCUCAUCCUGUGACUUAGAAUGCCUAACCUCCUGGGAAUGCAGCCCAGUAGGUCUCAGCCUUAUUUUACCCAGCCCCUAUUCAAGAUGGAGUUGCUCUGGCUCAAACACCUCUGAUGCUCACUCCACGGGCCCAUGGCUGGAAGAGUUACGGUAGUAGGGAUAGAGGCUCUGUAGAGGGCCAACAGCAAGGGCCCCCUCUGACCAAAGCUGAUCCAGUUACUGCCACUGCUGAAUACCCGACCUGUUGAUGGCAGAGAACGAAGAUGACCCCUUGGUAUGGUCCUACUUCUUGGAGAGUCUAGCUAGACAUUUGCUGGCAAGUUGAUUCCAUCAGGCCUUUCUCACCCUGCAGGGGACAGUGAUUGAUUCUUUUUUGGAGUUGAUUCCAUCAGAUACCAUCAGUUUGCCCUUCCUAUGUCUUUGCUGGUAUCAUCCAAGGGUUCACAGAGUACCUGAUUACUGACAUGGGGUUCCAUGUAACAGCUUUUCAGAUGAGAGCCCAUUUCACAGUGGAGAAAGUGUGAUACUAGCACCCAGCACAGGGUUCUCUGGACCCACCACGCACCACAUGGCCUGGCAGCCUAAAGGAGGAUGCAAUGGCCAGUGGGCCUUUGUCCCCUCAGCUGGAAUCAGCUUGUGGUAGAUGUCCCUUAGAUAGAGCCCCCAGAGACAUCCAGGGACUCUGAAUGCAGGUAUUUCCAUAGAGAACAGGAGGCCAGAGGAAGCAGGAGUUCAGGCCUGGUAGCAUGUGUGCAGUGGGACACUAGAUGUCUCAGAGCAGGAAUCUGUAUUUUUAAAGCCUCUUAAGGGAUGACAGGUACUCUCCUAGGGUCGAGAACCACCGGGGGGGGGAAAGAGGAUGAAACAUGGAGGAGGAAGAGCUGGUUGUGAGUCCUGGUGCCAUCACUUGCCCAAGGUGACCUCCCUUCGUCACAGGCUGAGGUGAGGAUCACAGUUACUGGCUUACUCAUUUAUACUCUUUUCUCAUUAGAACUGGGAUCAACAUAUCAGCUAGGAUCACCGUGUGUGAACCACUAUUAAAUGAGUUAAUAUACAUAAGGUAUAUAAAACAGUGCCUCAAUUGCACAAGAGCACUAUAAAAGGAUUAGCUAUUUUUAUGCAAGUGAUUGUUACUGUUAACAGAGGUUGAGGCACAGAGGAAGUCACUGAUGAGGCCCAAAAAUGCCUAAUUCUUCCUGUCCAUUGGCUCCUUGAGAACCCAGCAGCAGGCAGCAGGCAGCAGGAUGACCAUUUCUUGCUUUCUUUUUUCUCUCCACUUUUUAUUUGGAAAUAACUUCAAACUUACAAAAAUUGCAAACAUAAAAUAGUGCAAGGAGCAUUUAUAUACCUUUUACUCAGAUUCACGCAUUGGAAUGUUUUACUCCCAUUUGCUUUAUUGUUCACGUUCUAUUUUUUUCUUUGAGAUGGAGUUUCGCUGUUUUUGCCCAGGCUGGAGUGCAAUGGCGCGAUCUCGGCUCACUGCAACCUCCGCCUCCCAGGUUCAAGCGAUUCUCCUGCCUCAGCCUCCCUAGUAGCUGGGAUUACAGGCGCCUGCCACCACGCCCGGCUAAUUUUUUGUAUUUUUAGUAGAGAUGAGGUUUCACCAUGUCGGUCUGGAUGGUCUCGAUCUGUUGACCUCGUGAUCUGCCCACCUCAGCCUCCCGAAGUGCUGGGAUUACAGGCGUGAGCUACUGCACCCGGCCCUAUUGUUCAUGUUCUUUAUCUUUCUUCCUAUCUCUCUAAAUUUGUGGAAUAUAUAUACAUACAUAUUUAUAUAUAGAUACAGAUGUAUAUCCAUAUAUAAAUAUUUAUUUAUUUAUACUAUCGUAUAUUAUAUAUGCAUUCCCAUUUUUUUUUGGAAUUAAAGGUGAGUGACAUCAUGGCCUUUAAUCCUCAAUACUACAUUAUACCAAAUACUAAAUUAUAAUACCAGGAGUACUAAAUACUACACAAAGGAUGAUCUCUUAUAUAACCACAGCACAGUUGUCAGCCUCACACAUUUACACUGAUACAAUAUGUUAUCUAAUCUACUGUUCAUAUGCCAAUUUUAUCAGUUGGUCUAAUGAUGUUUUUUUCCAGCAUUUUUCCCUCCAGCACAGAAUCCCCUGUAGGGUCAGGCUGCAUUUAGUUGUCCUGUUUCUUCAGCUUUCCUUCAUCUGGAACAUUUCCACAGCCUUUCUUUGUCUUUUAUAACCUUGACAUUAUUGAGGGACACUUCCCUUCCCCCUGUUGUUUUAAUAGGACGUUCCUCAUGUUACAUCUGUCUGGUGUUCCCUUGCAAGCAAGGUUGUGUGUUCUUGGCCGCCAUGGGUCCUGUUGUGCAGGGCCACCAUUCCUAAUAAGGCAAGAGUGCUGGUGGCUGAUGAGCCCAGGGCUGCUCUUGCUCACUUUGCUGACAGCACUCGACGGGGAGUCAGCAAAGCCAGAAGUGCAAAUAAAGCCAUAAGCUUCAGGAAAUCUUGGGUGUCAUUCCAUGUAAACAAUAGGACUGGACGAAUGGAAAACUAGGCAGCUGGAAGCACUGUCAGAAAUUCAAGCCAGUAAAACCAGGCAGAGCAAUGUCAUUCCACGAUUACAGCCAGCUGCAUAUUUCAGUGCUAAAAUGUUUGAUUUCUGAACAAUGACACUCACUAGUUAUAAAAUAGAUGGGAUUGGUUUAUGCAUAUUUUAUCUCUGAAGUUGCUACUGUCAUAUCCAUUUUACAAGUAAGGAAACUGAGGCUUGGGGGGCAACUACAGUAAUGCCACAUGGCAAGCAUUGGCGCUAAAGCUAGAAUCCAAGUUUUGGUCUAAAUGCCCUAUGCUAUCUCCAUGAAAGCAGUGCUUUGCAUGAGAAGUCCUCAAGUUUUAGUUUGAGGGAGGUGGGCUGUAAAUCAAUGUGAAGCCAUUGAUAAACACUGAUUAUCUACAAAUGUUACUAACUUCCUGGCCUUUUUUCUUUUCUUUGCUUUUCUUUUUCUUUUUUUCUUUUUUUUUUGAGAAAGAGUUUUGCUCUUGUUGCCCAGGCUGGAGUGCAAUGGUGUGAUCUCAGCUCACCGCAACCUCUGCCUCCCGGGUUCAAGCGAUUCUCCUGCCUUAGCCUCCUGAGUAGCUGGGAUUACAGGCAUGCGCCACUACGCCCGGCUAAUUUUGUAUUUUUAGUAGAGACGGGGUUUCUCCAUGUUGGUCAGGCUGGUCUUGAACUCCUGACCUCAAGUGAUCCACCUGCCUCGGCUUCCCAAAGUGCUGAGAUUACAGGCGUGAGCCACCAUGCCUGGCCCCUGCUUUUUUCUUUAAUCUUCGCUCUUGACAAAUCAUAGUGAAAUGUCUUGGGUUCAUUGUCUUGGGAAGUCUGAGGUCUAGGGCCCCCUUUUGAUGGAGGUGGAAGGCAUUUACAUGGUGAGAGGGCCAGUGGAUACCAUCUCAGGUCUCUCUUGCUCUUCUUACAGAGCCACUAGUCCUACUGAAUUAGGGCCUCAUCCUUAUGAUCUCAUUUAAGUUUAGUUACCGCCUAAAAACCUAUGUCUAGAUAUAAUCCCACUGGGAAUUAUAUUUUCAACACAUAAACUUCUGGGGACACAUUCAAACCAUAGCAUGACUUUUGAUUUUGAAGGCUGACCUGGGUCUGUCCGAUGUGUCCUCAUGGCCAGACUCAAGCCGUGCACUCCUGGAAGACUUCCAGAAAAUUAUGCUGUGCUCUUCCUGAUGCAGAAUGUAGAUUCUUCCCUUGGUGUUACCUUGACCACUUUGUCAAGUUGGUUUCUGUCAUAUUUCUCCUCCAAAAAGCCACUGUUUUUUCCAUUGUGAUUAAUGAGUAUUUUGUAGGGAGAUAUUCUGGCAUUGUACCAAUAUCCUGUUCCUCACUGAACCUUUACCCACCAUCCUUAGCAAUUAUUGACAUCUUCCUCUAUCAUGGUUGCCACAUCAUAGAAUAAGAUCUAUAAUCUCCCAUUUCUGUCAUCCUAUCUACUUUUAUUAGUUGGCAUUCACUGUAAGGAAGGGCUUUCCCUUCUCACCCACUUGUUUAUUUAUAUCUUUAAGGCCUCAUAGAUUCUCAUUUUAUCCAAUGGAUUGUAAAUCAUCACUAUCAUUAUUUAUUUCAAAGGUCAAAUUUUCCAAAUUUGGCCAGUGAAACUCCCUUCAGGCUGGCUCCCAAGUCCUUUUGACACGUCUGUAUCAAUCUUUGAAUACUUCUUUACUUUCUGAAACAAGAUAUUCCAAACCCACCUUAUACUUCGUACUUAUUUAUUUAAUUAUUUAUACGCUAAGGUCUCAUUGAUUCCCAUUUUAUUGAAUGGCUGUAACCCAUCACUAUCAUUAUCUAUUUUAAAGUAACUGCUAUUUUACCUCUAGUCUCAUUUCCCUAAAAUUCAUCCAAUAUUUGCACCAGAUUAAUCUUCUAAAAGCAUAGCUACUGUCCUUAUUUUUUGACCAUGCUGGCAUCUUUGAAGAAGCAGGAAAAAACCCAAGCUUCUCAUCCAGCAUUCAAGACGCUCCCCACUCUGUCCCCAUUUGCCCUGGCCAUCAAGUUUCCCAAGACUCUCUGAUGUGUUUCUCCGUGGAUGUUAUGAGCACCUCCUCAUCCUCUCAUCCUCCCUCCCUCCCUCCCUUCUUUUUUCUCUCCUCCCUCCCUCCCUCCCUCCCCUCCCUCCCUCCCUCCCUUCCUUCCUUCCUUUUCCUUUCUUCCUCCCUCCCUUCCUUUUCCUUCCCUCCUUCCUUCCUUUUCCUUCCUUCCUUCCUUCCCUCCUUCCUUCCUUUUCCUUCCUUCCUUCCUUUUCCUUCCUCCCUCCCUUCCUUCCUUUUCCUUCCUCCCUCCCUCCCUUCCUCCCUCCCUUCCUUCCUUCCCUCCUUCCUUCUUUCCUUCCUUUUCCUUCCUUCCUUCCUUCUUUCCUCCCUCCCUCCCUCCAUCCCUCCAUCCCUCCCUUCCUCCCUUCCUCCUUUCCUCCUUUCCAUACUUAUCUAGAAGCUGCAAUGUGUCAGGCACUGAACUAGGCACUGAGGACAGAGCAGUGAAUGAAAUGAAGUUCUUGCUGUCAUGGAGCUUGUCCUGGAAAGAGACAGUAAUCACACAAAUACAUAUGCAUCAGGUAAUAGUAAAUGUUGUGAGAAAGAAUAAAGCAGAGUAAGGGGAUAGAGUGAAUGGUGCGUGAUUGAGGGUGUGUCUAUCUCUCUUUCUACCUGUGUGUGUGGAUGCACAAGCGAUAUUUUACACAGGGCACAUCUAGAACUUCCCUACCUUCACACCUCCUUCGCUCAUAUCAUUCCUUCUAUUUGGCAUUUUCUUCCUUGUUGAUACUUGAGCUUGAACUUCAAGAAAUAAGGUUUUCCAGUCCUCAUGACGUCUUCUCUGAUUGCCCCAGACCCAGUGAUCCUUCUCUGAA
rnacentral:lncRNA from 1 species